rnacentral:tRNA from 1 species
UGGGGGAUUAGCUCAGCUGGCUAGAGCGCCUGCCUUGCACGCAGGAGGUCAUCGGUUCGACUCCGAUAUUCUCCA